AUUGAACGCUGGCGGAAUGCUUUACACAUGCAAGUCGAGCGGCACGCGGCGGGGGCAACCCUGGCGGCGAGCGGCGAACGGGUGAGUAAUACAUCGGAACGUGUCCUUGAGUGGGGGAUAGCUCGGCGAAAGCCGGAUUAAUACCGCAUAAGCUCUGCGGAGGAAAGCGGGGGACUGGGUAACGGCCUCGCGCUGUUGGAGCGGCCGAUGUCGGAUUAGCUAGUUGGUGGGGAAAGGCCCACCAAGGCGACGAUCCGUAGCUGGUCUGAGAGGAUGAUCAGCCACACUGGAACUGAGAC
rnacentral:rRNA from 1 species